CCUACGGGGUGCAGCAGUGGGGGAUAUUGCACAAUGGGGGAAACCCUGAUGCAGCGACGCCGCGUGGGUGAAGAAGCGCCUCGGCGCGUCAAGCCCUGUCAGCAGGGAAGAAAAUGACGGUACCUCAAGAAGAAGCACCGGCUAACUACGUGCCAGCAGCCGCGGUAAUACGUAGGGGGCAAGCGUUAUCCGGAUUUACUGGGUGUAAAGGGCGUGUAGACGGGUUUACAAGUCAGAUGUGAAAUCCUGCGGCUUAACCGCAGAACUGCAUUUGAAACUGUUGAUCUUGAGUACUGGAGAGGCAGACGGAAUUCCUAGUGUAGCGGUGAAAUGCGUAGAUAUUAGGAGGAACACCAGUGGCGAAGGCGGUCUGCUGGACAGCAACUGACGGUGAGGCGCGAAAGCGUGGGGAGCAAACAGGAUUAGAUACCCCUGUAGUC
rnacentral:rRNA from 1 species